ensembl:snoRNA SNORA62 Small nucleolar RNA SNORA62/SNORA6 family
UUUGCACAUUGUUAGAGCUUGGAGUUGAGGCCACUGGCUGGCCUGUGGACUCCCAAGUGUAGGUAGUGUGCUACACGAGCAGCAAGAUUUUCGCUAACACUUCACUCUGGUCCAAUGGGUGGAGCUUGAUAGUAAUUCUUGCUACAAGU